GGGAUCUGCAUGCGCAAGCUCACAUGGGGAAGCUGCCUAUAGAGACAGGUGUAGGGCAUCAUCGGGUAUCUGGGAGGAAGAAGAUGGAGACACAUUAUUUACCGGACUUCUGAAUCAGAACCAGAACACAUCAAAUGAAAACCAUAAUCUAGGCGGAGAAAAUUUGCAGAGUAAUGGUGAUAAAGCUAUUUUGAACAAUGUAUUAUCCUCUCCUGAGGGUAUCCGUACUAAGAUUAUCUCCAAGUCGGGGUUUUCCCAGUAUUUUGUGAAAAGCACAUUGAAAGGCAAAGGAAUCAUCUGCAAAACACAGUUACCCCGAGUAUCUGCUAGUGAGUCUCGAGGACAGAUUCAUUCGCAGUGUACUAAUGCUUCUUCCACUGUUGCAAGCAUGGAUGCAUUUGUUAAUCCCAACGUCUAUCAUGAUGGGAUCAGUUUAAGAGAACGGCUGAAAGCUG
rnacentral:misc_RNA from 1 species